rnacentral:rRNA from 1 species
UACGAAGGGGGCGAGCGUUGUUCGGAAUUACUGGGCGUAAAGGGCGCGCAGGCGGCUCUGAAAGUCAGAUGUGAAAGCCCCGGGCUUAACCUGGGAAUUGCAUUUGAUACUCUGGAGCUUGAGUGUGGGAGAGGAGAGUGGAAUUCCCAGUGUAGAGGUGAAAUUCGUAGAUAUUGGGAAGAACACCGGUGGCGAAGGCGACUCUCUGGACCACAACUGACGCUGAGGCGCGAAAGCGUGGGGAGCAAACAGG